rnacentral:tRNA from 1 species
GUUUUAAUAAUUUAAAAUUUAAAAUAUUGGUCUUGUAAACCAAAAAUGAAAAUAUUCUUAAAACU